rnacentral:rRNA from 1 species
UACGUAGGGUGCGAGCGUUGUCCGGAAUUACUGGGCGUAAAGAGUUCGUAGGCGGUUUGUCGCGUCGUUCGUGAAAACUUGGGGCUUAACUCCAAGCGUGCGGGCGAUACGGGCAGACUUGAGUACUACAGGGGAGACUGGAAUUCCUGGUGUAGCGGUGAAAUGCGUAGAUAUCAAGCGGAACACCAGUGGCGAAGGCGAGUCCCUGGACAACUCCUGACACUGAGGCACGAAAGCUAGGGGAGCAAACAGG